rnacentral:rRNA from 1 species
UAACGCGAAGAACCUUACCUGGGUUUGACAUGCACAGGACGCUGGUAGAGAUAUCAGUUCCCUUGUGGCCUGUGUGCAGGUGGUGCAUGGCUGUCGUCAGCUCGUGUCGUGAGAUGUUGGGUUAAGUCCCGCAACGAGCGCAACCCUUGUCUCAUGUUGCCAGCGCGUUAUGGCGGGGACUCGUGAGAGACUGCCGGGGUCAACUCGGAGGAAGGUGGGGAUGACGUCAAGUCAUCAUGCCCCUUAUGUCCAGGGCUUCACACAUGCUACAAUGGCCGGUACAAAGGGCUGCGAUGCCGUGAGGCUUAGCGAAUCCUUUUAAAGCCGGUCUCAGUUCGGAUCGGGGUCUGCAACUCGACCCCGUGAAGUCGGAGUCGCUAGUAAUCGCAGAUCAGCAACGCUGCGGUGAAUACGUUCCCGGGUCUUGUACACACCGA